rnacentral:rRNA from 1 species
GUGUCAGCAGCCGCGGUAAUACGGAGGAUCCAAGCGUUAUCCGGAAUCAUUGGGUUUAAAGGGUCCGUAGGCGGGACAAUCAGUCAGUGGUGAAAGUCUGCAGCUCAACUGUAGAAUUGCCAUUGAUACUGUUGUCCUUGAGUUAUUAUGAAGUGGUUAGAAUGAGUAGUGUAGCGGUGAAAUGCAUAGAUAUUACUCAGAAUACCGAUUGCGAAGGCAGAUCACUAAUAAUACACUGACGCUGAUGGACGAAAGCGUAGGUAGCGAACAGGAUUAGAAACCCGAGUAGUCC